UAAAAGAAAUCAAAGGAAAUGAACAACCUGAGAAAGUUGCGCUUUAUCAUUCUCCACUAGUAGAAAAAAUGAAAUAGGCACCCCCCCAAGAACCGGUGCCAAAAGAAAUGGGCGGGAUUUAAAAAUUCGAUUUUGGCACUGGUUCGCCUUAAACCAGUGCCAACUAUGGUAAAAAGCACUGGUUCAAACCGGUGCGAAUUAAAAAAGACAAAAAAAAAGUAGAAAGGUAUGCGUUACUCUGCUUCUACUUCUUUCUUUGUUUCCCCUUGCUUUUCAUUUUCGGUUUUCCCUAACUCUCGUUUUCGCCCUUCUCUUAGCUUCGACCACCUCUGAAGUUCCACCUUUCUCCAAAUCUCUACUCCAUUACGCGUGCUCGUAGUUCUCCAUUGAAGCGCAUUAUGAGCUUUGUCCAUAUCAAUCCUCCACUACGCGUACUGUUAAUUCUCCAUUGAAGCGGAUUCGAGCUUUCUCACCUCCAUUGAAGCAGCUUCGAGGUAAAGGCACUUAUGAAGGAUCAUUUAAAUGGAAAAUCAGGAGGAUCAAGUGAAAAGUCGUCUGAGCCUAGUGCAUCAGUUGAACUGAACUCACGUAACUUUGAUGAUUUAGUGCUGAGUACAGAAAGGAGAGCAUUGCUUUACAGAAAGGAGUCAUCUUGAAAGCUAUUCUUAUUGUUUAUGUGGUGAUUAAUGAUUUUUUUGUCAGUGGAACCCUUAGUUUUCCAUUAAACAUUUACGCGUUUGUAAUAUGCAUCUCCAUUUUAGUAACAUGGAUAAUGUGGUGUUUAUACUAAUUUUGGUUCUUGCCUGUUUUCGUUGUCAACCAUCUGCUGUAGUUUGUUUGUGUUGCAAAAAGGUUAUUUCUUUACCAAUGACUCUAUGAGAGGGAUACACUCUUCUACAGUCUUAA